rnacentral:siRNA from 1 species
UCUGAUCUUGAAUGCCCUCCA